UAUUUUUAUCGCCUGGAGUCAUAGAGCAACACAGGCCACCGGCGGACCGGAGGGGAGUAGCCAUACACAGGCGUUCCCCUCUGUCAAAGUACAAGUCCAAAUGGUCCUAUGCGUACAAUAAAACUAGUUGCAACUAAACUAUUCGCUAGACUAAAUCUAGUUGCGUGAGUGAAUCGACGUCGUCGUAAAAAAUGCCGAAUUGUUCUGUUUUUUGCUGCAAAAAGAGAUCUGCCACGUCAAAUUUACAAAAAGAUGGCGUUACCUUUCAUAUGUUUCCUAAAGAUCCAAAUUUAAGAAAUAUAUGGAAGACAUUUUCUCAUAACAGACCAACCUGGAUUCCCACAAGAAAUAGUGUCAUUUGCUCAAAUCAUUUUAAGACCUCUGACUUUCAAGUGUUGGCGAACAAUAGGAGGAGAUUAGUCGAUGGCGCCAAACCAACCGCCAACUGUAUUUGUUCCGUAAGUUUUUAUUUUAUUCAUGUGCAAGGUCAUAGAUAAUAUAAUACUAGCUUAGGUAAACGAAUAGUACAUUCCACAUGAUGUACCUCGUUGACGUUAGUCAUAGUGGUGAAAUGAAGCCUACAUUUUUAAACUUAAUCUAAUUUUCCAGAAUCAUCGACAAUCAUUAAAUAUACCAGAUGAGAGGUUAUCAUCUAAUGGGCCCAUUAAUGACACUCGGACUAUUCCUAAUUCAUUGACAUCACCGUGUAGAUCGUCAACUCCUCAAAAUACUCAGUCAAAGGAAACAUCUAAAAAAUCUGCUUCAAUUCCCACUACUGCACUUACACCAAGAAAAAGAAAAAUGCAGCAACAAUUAGAUUGUCAGAAAAAAAAAAUUAAAAGGCUACAAGCUAAAAUCUUUUCUUAAAGAAAAAAGUUGCUGGGCUAGAAGAAAUUCUUCAGAGUUUAGAUGAAAAAGCUUUGAUAGAUAAAGAGGAAAGGAUGGUCCUGGAAAAAAUAGGCGUUGAAGAAGCAGAGCUUAUUAAGCGUCAAUUAAAGAAAUGUAAAAGUGGAAAGCUCUCACGAGCCAAGUAUUCACCAGAACUGAGGUGUUUUGCUCUAACUCUCAACUUUUAUUCCCCCAAAGCUUACAAGUAUGUUCGUAAAACGUUUGGGACGUGUUUACCUGCUCCGCGUACUUUAACUAAAUGGUAUAGUAAUAUUGAUGGACGGCCCGGUUUUACCAAAGAAGCCUUGGCGGCCUUAAAAUAUAAAGCCGAUGCCAAUCCACAUAGUAAAAUUUACUGUACUUUAGUUUUCGAUGAAAUGAAAAUAAAGACACAAUCACAUGACAAUCCAAGUGGUGACAGACGAUUCGGAUAUAUUGAUUAUGGUUUCGAUUUAAUAACUGAUAAUACAGAUGAAGCUACAGAUGUCCUAGUUUUUCUAUUAGUAGGCAUUAAUACUCCAUGGAAAGUCCCAAUCGGAUAUUUUUUAGUUAAAGGUACAAGUGCUAAGUUAAAAGCUCAACUUGUAACUAAAGCGUUUGAAUUAGUACAUGAAACCGGAAUAGAAAUAAAAGCGUUAACGUGUGACGGCGCAAAAGCAAAUUUAGCGAUGGCUACGGAACUGGUUGCUGCUUAGUUGCAAAUAAAUUGCAAACUACUAUAUUAGAUCCCACAACGGGGCAACGAGUUCACUUUUUUUUAGAUCCAAGUCACAUGUUAAAAUUAAUUAGAAACACUUUUUGUGACUACAAAUGUUUUUACGAUGAUAAUGAAAAUAAAAUUCAAUGGUUAUUUGUGGAAGCAUUACAUAAAAUACAGGAAGAAGAAUUAUUUUACAUGGCUAACAAAUUAAAAGCAAAUCACAUUUAUUACAAA